AAUAGAUACCCAGGUAGUCCAUGCCGUAACGUUGGGCACUAGGUGUGGGCUCAUUCCACGGAGUUCCGUGCCGCAGCAAACGCAUUAAGUGCCCCGCCUGGGGAGUACGGCCGCAAGGCUAAAACUCAAAGGAAUUGACGGGGGCCCGCACAAGCGGCGGAGCAUGCGGAUUAAUUCGAUGCAACGCGAAGAACCUUACCAAGGCUUGACAUGCACGAGAAGCCACCAGAGAUGGUGGUCUCUUUGGACACUCGUGCACAGGUGGUGCAUGGUUGUCGUCAGCUCGUGUCGUGAGAUGUUGGGUUAAGUCCCGCAACGAGCGCAACCCUCGUCCCAUGUUGCCAGCGGGUUAUGCCGGGGACUCAUGGGAGACUGCCGGGGUCAACUCGGAGGAAGGUGGGGAUGACGUCAAAUCAUCAUGCCCCUUAUGUCUUGGGCUUCACGCAUGCUACAAUGGCCGGUACAAAGGGCUGCGAUACCGUAAGGUGGAGCGAAUCCCAAAAGCCGGUCUCAGUUCGGAUUGGGGUC
rnacentral:rRNA from 1 species